rnacentral:rRNA from 1 species
AUGCUUGUAGAUCAUGAAAAGAAUGCUUUAGGUGCUGGUUAUAUUUUUGAAUUCAUUCAUGAUGCUACUGAAAAUUAUUAUGAGGGAGGAACAUAUGCUUGUAGGAAUUGCUAUAAUAUCAAGUUUCCUUUCUAUGUGCUUAAAGUUUUGAAGUUAUGCUUGUUUUGCCUGCCUAUGCAAGUUGAUUCUUGUUCGGAUAAGUUGUUUGCUCAAAAAAUCCCUAUGCAUAGGAUGUGGGUUAUAAUUAAAUGUGCUAGUCAUAUUCUUCAUGAUGCUCUCUUUACGUUUCAAUUCUUAUCUUUUAUGUGA